CAGCUUGUUGGUGGGGUAAUGGCUCACCAAGGCGACGAUCCGUAGCUGGUCUGAGAGGACGAUCAGCCACACUGGGACUGAGACACGGCCCAGACUCCUACGGGAGGCAGCAGUGGGGAAUCUUGCGCAAUGGGCGAAAGCCUGACGCAGCGACGCCGCGUGGGGGAUGAAGGCCCUCGGGUUGUAAACCCCUUUCGACGGGGAAGAAGCGAAAGUGACGGUACCCGUAGAAGAAGCCCCGGCUAACUACGUGCCAGCAGCCGCGGUAAGACGCAGGGGGCGAGCGUUGUCCGGAUUUAUUGGGCGUAAAGAGCGUGUAGGCGGCCGAGUAAGUCCGGUGUGAAAACUCGAGGCUUAACCUCGAGAUGUCAUCGGAAACUAUUCGGCUAGAGUCCGGAAGAGGAGAGUGGAAUUCCUGGUGUAGCGGUGAAAUGCGCAGAUAUCA
rnacentral:rRNA from 1 species